CCUCUUUCUCACAUAAACAAAGGAUAUUAUUAUAUCAGGGCCUACUCCGGCGUGCAGGCUCUGCAAUCCUCUCUCUAGAAAUUGCAGAGAGCAAAGGAGAGAAAGAAAGAGGAUCGAAAACCCUUUGCAUUUCAGUGAAAUUAGGGUUUCUUUUCCCUUUUCCUCGCAUUUCUCUCCGAUCUGCUUCAGAUUCUUGAAGAUUCACAGAUCUCUGAAAAUACUUCGAUCGAUCACGAGAAUCUGAUGUGGAGGGUUUAAAUCUCGAGGUUUUGGAGAGAAAUUGUUGUUCUGCUCGAUCUCUUAUUUCUCAUCUCCUUUUGGUUUCAUUUGAUUUCUGAAAAUUGGCGCCGCAACACCGGGCGCAGCAGCGCCACAUGGGUGGCCAGAUGCAUCAGAGCAAUGCUGCAGUGGCAGCCGCUCUGUACGAUGCGGGGCCUGCGAGCAGUGACACAGGUGAUGCGAUCAUGGCACGGUGGCUCCAGUCCGCAGGGUUGCAGCAUCUGGCUUCUCCAUUGGCCUCGACUGGGAUCGAAUAUCGCCUCCUUCCCAAUCUCCUCGUGUAGGGUUAUGGAGCACGAUCUGUCGAGGAAAAGCAGAAGCUUUUUAAAUUGCUGAGGAACCUGAAUUUCAAUGGUGAAUCGUAUUGCUACAGAAACCCCUGAAACUGAACCUGGGCGCGAGCAACUGUAUCACUACUUGUCUUUUGGUUGGCUUUGUGGUGGAAUUAUAGAGCAUUCAUCUGGGAAGAGAUUUCAAGAGAUCCUGGAAGAAGCAAUCAUUCACCCACUCAACAUCGAAGGCGAGCUAUAUGUUGGCAUUCCUCCCGGAGACCAUUUCAAAGGAAAGAGACCUGCUUGUUUGCUGCAUUUGCCAUCGCAAACACGGUGUCUGCAUAAAGUGUAAUCAUGAUGACUGUCAAACUGCAUUUCAUCCUACUUGUGCUAAACGUGUUGGCCUGCACAUGGAUGUAAAGACUGGUGGAGGCAAGUUUUUUCAACACAAGGCUUAUUGUGAAAAGCAUAGCUUGGAUUAGAAAAAGAAGGCUGAGAGUCUGCAACAUGGACCUGAUGAGGUCCGCCGCAUUAAGCAAAUCUGGGUCAAUGAGAAUGUACUAUAAUCCACAUCUUGUCUGUUUUCUCAUUCAUUAACGGAUCCUCCUUUUGGGUUUCCUUUCCAGCACUUUCAACUCUCAAUUCUACUCUUUCCUUUCCCUACACACAUCCAUCUGCAUUUCAUUUCUUGUUUGAGAGUUUUCAUUUCAUGUCUUGCAGCUAGCAGGCCUGAGCUACCUGUUGAGGUUGCAAGGCCUGCUACACACAAUUCGAAUGGAGAAUGUUGGUGGAGACAAUGAUGAUGUUGGCCUGGAAGCAACAGAAGAUGGAUGGGCAGUGUUAUCUCAGGGUCCGCCAAGCACGACGGCACCGGUGAUGACGGGCGCAACCAUGACUUUGUAUUAUUUGUGGAACCUAAUAUUGUAUAACAGUUUGAUUGAGUUAAACUUUAAAUAGACUGUUGUUAACUGUUUUGUUGGUA